rnacentral:rRNA from 1 species
UACGUAGGGGGCAAGCGUUGUCCGGAUUUAUUGGGCGUAAAGAGCGUGUAGGCGGCCAUUCAGGUCAGCUGUGAAAACUCGAGGCUCAACCUCGAGACGUCGGUUGAAACCGUUUGGCUAGAGUCCGGAAGAGGAGAGUGGAAUUCCCGGUGUAGCGGUGAAAUGCGCAGAUAUCGGGAAGAACACCCGUGGCGAAGGCGGCUCUCUGGGACGGUACUGACGCUGAGACGCGAAAGCGUGGGGAGCAAAAGGG